rnacentral:rRNA from 1 species
ACUCCGAAACUGCAUUUGAUACUGCGGUGCUUGAGGACUGGAGAGGAGACUGGAAUUUACGGUGUAGCAGUGAAAUGCGUAGAGAUCGUAAGGAAGACCAGUGGCGAAGGCGGGUCUCUGGACAGUUCCUGACACUGAGGCACGAAGGCCAGGGGAGCAAACGGGAUUAGAUACCCCGGUAGUCCUGGCAGUAAACGGUGCACGUUUGGUGUGGGAGGAUUCGACCCCUUCUGCGCCGGAGCUAACGCGUUAAACGUGCCGCCUGGGGAGUACGGUCGCAAGAUUAAAACUCAAAGAAAUUGACGGGGGCCCGCACAAGCGGUGGAGUAUGUGGCUUAAUUCGAUGCAACGCGAAGAACGUUACCUGGCCUUGACAUGCAUCUCUAAGUUGGUGAAAGCCAGCGAGUCCCGAAAGGGACAAUUUGCACAGGUGCUG